rnacentral:rRNA from 1 species
UGGGGAAUUUUGGACAAUGGGCGAAAGCCUGAUCCAGCAAUGCCGCGUGUGUGAAGAAGGCCUUCGGGUUGUAAAGCACUUUUGUCCGGAAAGAAAUCCUCUGGGUUAAUACCUCGGGGGGAUGACGGUACCGGAAGAAUAAGCACCGGCUAACUACGUGCCAGCAGCCGCGGUAAUACGUAGGGUGCAAGCGUUAAUCGGAAUUACUGGGCGUAAAGCGUGCGCAGGCGGUUUUGUAAGACGGAUGUGAAAUCCCCGGGCUUAACCUGGGAACUGCAUUCGUGACUGCAAGGCUAGAGUAUGGCAGAGGGGGGUAGAAUUCCACGUGUAGCAGUGAAAUGCGUAGAGAUGUGGAGGAAUACCGAUGGCGAAGGCAGCCCCCUGGGCCAAUACUGACGCUCAUGCACGAAAGCGUGGGGAGCAAACAGGAUUAGAUACCCUGGUAGUCCACGCCCUAAACGAUGUCAACUAGUUGUUGGGGAUUCAUUUCCUUAGUAACGUAGCUAACGCGUGAAGUUGACCGCCUGGGGGAGUACGGUCGCAAGAUUAAAACUCAAAGGAAUUGACGGGGUCAUAGCUGUUUCC